rnacentral:lncRNA from 1 species
UUUGGGCCAAUCAUGUUCAAGUAUUUAAAUACGAUUUAAAAUCGUUCGAUUUAAAACCGCAACGGAAUUUCGCGCGCUUUCCGCCAAUUGGCCAUAUAUCGCUAUGCACGAUCGUAUCACCUGAUUAGUUUUAGGAUUUUCAAACGAAUGACCCAAGAACACUACGGAUUUUCAGAGUUGAAUUUAUAGUCGCGUAGUACGACGGCAUUCCAAGCGUGCACUGAAGAUGGAAUUACAAGCGAUGGCAGCAUCUGCGAAUCUGUCCUUUCUAGCACCUUCCAUAGUCAUCGCAACACCGGCAGACCUCAAGUUGAUUCUGUACAAUUAGCCACUAGUUAUACUUUUUGGUUGGUUGUACUUGGCAUAAGAGAUACCAGGUGUCAUGAGAUCACAGGUUCAGAGAUCUCAUUUAAAUGGCAUUAUUAUGUAACUGUAGUUCAUGAAUACUCAGAGUUAUACUUUUUGUCAUUUUCAAAUUUAUUGUAUUGUUCAUAAUUGCAAUGUUGAUAAUAUAAUAAAUCAUUCACCACUAUGCGUUUUGCUAUAAAACUCAUUUUCAGUACGGGAUUUCUAAAGUUUAUGUAUAUAUCAAAAAUCAAAACGCACGUGGAACUGAGAAAAAAAUUAGUAUUAUGUGCAAUAAAUGCUUAUAAAAACCGAACACAGGUAUUUAUAUAUUCUAGAAUAGAUGAUAGUUCACAUCCGGUAAUGGUACAAUUUUUAGAGUUACACGCCUGAUCAAAUUGAACAGAACUUUGUGUAAUACGACAUUCAGAAAUAAUAUUCAAUUAUCAGAAAAUCACUCAUAAAAAUUUGUUUGCACUACGAUAAUUAAAGUUUUUACGAUAUUUAUGGUAGAAAUCUUUCACCGAAUAGUCAUUUUGAAAAAAAUAUUUCAAACUAAUUUCUAAUAA